rnacentral:rRNA from 1 species
UACGUAGGGUGCAAGCGUUAAUCGGAAUUACUGGGCGUAAAGCGUGCGCAGGCGGCUUUGCAAGACAGAUGUGAAAUCCCCGGGCUCAACCUGGGGAACUGCAUUUGUGACUGCAAGGCUGGAGUACGGCAGAGGGGGAUGGAAUUCCACGUGUAGCAGUGAGAUGCGUAGAUAUGCGGAGGAACACCGAUGGCGAAGGCAAUCCCCUGGGCCUGUACUGACGCUCAUGCACGAAAGCGUGGGGAGCAACAGG